rnacentral:rRNA from 1 species
GGUCGGAUUAGCUAGUUGGUGGGGUAAUGGCUCACCAAGGCGACGAUCCCUAGCUGGUUUGAGAGGAUGAUCAGCCACACUGGGACUGAGACACGGCCCAGACUCCUACGGGAGGCAGCAGUAGGGAAUCUUCCGCAAUGGGCGAAAGCCUGACGGAGCAACGCCGCGUGAGUGAAGAAGGUCUUCGGAUCGUAAAGCUCUGUUGCCGGGGACGAAUG